AACGAACGCUGGCGGCAGGCUUGACACAUGCAAGUCGAACGCGCGUAGCAAUACACGAGUGGCGCACGGGUGAGUAACACGUGGAUAUCUGCCUUUUGGUUCGGAAUAACUCCGGGAAACUGGAGCUAAUACCGGAUGGUUCCUACGGGAUAAAGAUUUAUCGCCAAAAGAUGAGUCCGCGCACGAUUAGCUAGUUGGUGAGGUAAUGGCUCACCAAGGCGACGAUCGUUAGCUGGUCUGAGAGGACGAUCAGCCACACUGGGACUGAGACACGGCCCAGACUCCUACGGGAGGCAGCAGUGGGGAAUAUUGGACAAUGGGGGCAACCCUGAUCCAGCCAUGCCGCGUGAGUGAUGAAGGCCUUCGGGUUGUAAAGCUCUUUUGGCGGGGACGAUGAUGACGGUACCCGCAGAAUAAGCCCCGGCUAACUUCGUGCCAGCAGCCGCGGUAAGACGAAGGGGGCUAGCGUUGUUCGGAAUUACUGGGCGUAAAGCGAGUGUAGGCGGUUGCCAUAGUCAGGCGUGAAAGCCUUGAGCUCAACUCAAGAAAUGCACUUGAUACUGGGCGACUAGAGGACCGGAGAGGAUAGUGGAAUUCCCAGUGUAGUGGUGAAAUACGUAGAGAUUGGGAAGAACACCAGUGGCGAAGGCGGCUAUCUGGACGGUUACUGACGCUAAGACUCGAAAGCGUGGGGAGCAAACAGG
rnacentral:rRNA from 1 species